rfam:Felis catus isolate Cinnamon breed Abyssinian chromosome C1, whole genome shotgun sequence.
GCCUGGGUGGCUCAGUUGGUUGAGCGUCGGACUUCGGCUCAGGUCAUGAUCCCACAGUUUGUGGGUUCGAGCCCCACGUCAGGCU